rnacentral:rRNA from 1 species
GAAGUUCUUUCGGGAACCAAAGCUAAGCGGCGGAACGGGGUGAGUAACCACGUGGGCCACCCUGCCUUCAUAGAGGGGAAAAAGCCUUCCCGAAAAGGGAGAUUAAUUCCCGCAUAAGAUUGUAGUUACCGCAUGGUACAGCAAUUAAAGGAGCAAUCCGCUAUGAGAUGGGCCCGCGGCGCAUUAGCUAGUUGGUGAGGUAACGGCUCACCAAGGCGACGAUGCGUAGCCGACCUGAGAGGGUGAUCGGCCACAUUGGGACUGAGACACGGCCCAGACUCCUACGGGAGGCAGCAGUGGGGAAUAUUGCACAAUGGGGGAAACCCUGAUGCAGCAACGCCGCGUGAGUGAUGACGGCCUUCGGGUUGUAAAGCUCUGUCUUCAGGGACGAUAAUGACGGUACCUGAGGAGGAAGCCACGGCUAACUACGUGCCAGCAGCCGCGGUAAUACGUAGGUGGCGAGCGUUGUCCGGAUUUACUGGGCGUAAAGGGAGCGUAGGCGGAUUUUUAAGUGAGAUGUGAAAUACUCGGGCUUAACCUGAGUGCUGCAUUUCAAACUGGAAGUCUAGAGUGCAGGAGAGGAGAAGGGAAUUCCUAGUGUAGUGGUGAAAUGCGUAGAGAUUAGGAAGAACACCAGUGGCGAAGGCGCUUCUCUGGACUGUAACUGACGCUGAGGCUCGAAAGCAUGGGUAGCGAACAGGAUUAGAUACCCUGGUAGUCCAUGCCGUAAACGAUGAGUGCUAAGUGUUGGAGGGUUUCCGCCCUU